GGGGAAUAUUGCACAAUGGGCGAAAGCCUGAUGCAGCGACGCCGCGUGAGUGAAGAAGUAUUUCGGUAUGUAAAGCUCUAUCAGCAGGGAAGAAAAUGACGGUACCUGACUAAGAAGCCCCGGCUAACUACGUGCCAGCAGCCGCGGUAAUACGUAGGGGGCAAGCGUUAUCCGGAUUUACUGGGUGUAAAGGGAGCGUAGACGGCGAAGCAAGUCUGAAGUGAAAACCCAGGGCUCAACCCUGGGACUGCUUUGGAAACUGUUUUGCUAGAGUGUCGGAGAGGUAAGUGGAAUUCCUAGUGUAGCGGUGAAAUGCGUAGAUAUUAGGAGGAACACCAGUGGCGAAGGCGGCUUACUGGACGAUAACUGACGUUGAGGCUCGAAAGCGUGGGGAGCAAACA
rnacentral:rRNA from 1 species